CAUGUACUCCCUCCGUCCGGAAAUACUUGUCGGAGAAAUGGAUAUAUCUAGACGCAUUUUAGUUCUAGAUACAUCCUUUAUCCAUUUCUGUGACAAGUAAUUCUAGACGGAGGGAGUACUAG
rnacentral:pre_miRNA from 1 species